rnacentral:lncRNA from 10 species
UGCUGACUGAGGAGUGUGGGUGGACACGAAGCUGGGAGGCAUGCCGUGGAGGUUAAGAGCCAGUCUGUAGCUAGACUGCUGAGCUAGAAUCUCAGCUCAGUCACUUAAUCAGCUUCAUGGCCUCAGAAGCGUUGGAUGAGGUCAGAAGAAGAGGCUGUGAUAAGAUGGAGAGAGAGAAGAGGAGCCCUCUGGAAAGAGGUGGCUGCUGGCACAGCGCUGACGCAGGCAAGCAAGGCUCUUGACUCCUCUGCAUCUCUCAAGUUUCGAACGUAAUAUCAACUACUGAUUUUUCAGCCCCCGAGAGAGCCCAACAGUCUGCCUACGGCGACCAUCACACAAUUGGGAUGGCCCAGUGCCCUCUCUACAGAGGAAGACACCAAGGCAGGGACGGAGUCCAACCCCGGGUCUACUUGAUUCAAAAGCCCCUGUUAUGCUUGGCACAGGUGGCUCACGCCUGUAAUCCAGCACUUUGGGAGGUCAAGGCGGACGGAUCACCUAAGGUCAGGAGUUUGAGACCAGCCUGGCCAACAUGGUAAAACACCAUCUCUACUAAAAAUACAAAAAUUAGCCAGGCUUGGUGGAGGGCACCUGUAAUCCCAGCUACUCAGGAGGCUGAGGCAGGAGAAUCACUUGAACCCAGGAAGUGGAGGUUGCAGUGAGCCGAGAUCGUGCCACCGCACUCCAGCCUGGGCGACAGAGCAACACACCUACACGCAAAGCCCCUGUUCUGAGUUUCUGUCUGGGAUGAUGAAACAGUUCUGGAAGUGGAUAAUGGGAUGGUUGUACAACACUGUGAAUGUACUUAAUGCCACUGAAUUGAACACUUAAAAAUGGUUAAAAUGGUAAAUUUUAUGUCACAUAUAUUUUACUACAAUAAAAAAAAAGGGUCACAACUAGAACAGCAUUCCCUAUACUUUCUGAGUUCUGACAAAAAAAAGGAAUAAAGACUGCUGAUGAUUUCUGUAAAAGUAGGGCAUAGGGUUCCUGAUGGUGGGGGCAGGGGGCUGUGGAUAGAAGGGACUUUUGGGGUAUCUGAUAAAGUUCUCUGACCUGUGUGCUGUUUGCCUUAGGAUUCAUUUAGACAUUCAUUUGAUUUCUGUGGCUUUCAAAUUGUUGUUUGAUUUUACAAUAAAAGAUUUUCUUUAAAAGUUCC